UCGGGAAUAUUGCGCAAUGGAGGAAACUCUGACGCAGUGACGCCGCGUGCAGGAAGAAGGUUUUCGGAUUGUAAACUGCUUUUAGACCGGGAAGAAACAAGACAGUACCUGUAGAAUAAGCUCCGGCUAACUACGUGCCAGCAGCCGCGGUAAUACGUAGGGAGCAAGCGUUAUCCGGAUUUAUUGGGUGUAAAGGGUGCGUAGACGGGAAUGCAAGUUGGUUGUGAAAUCCCUCGGCUCAACCGAGGAAUUGCAACCAAAACUAUAUUUCUUGAGUGCUGGAGAGGAAAGUGGAAUUCCUAGUGUAGCGGUGAAAUGCGUAGAUAUUAGGAGGAACACCAGUGGCGAAGGCGACUUUCUGGACAGUAACUGACGUUGAAGCACGAAAGUGUGGGGAGCAAACAGGAUUAGAUACC
rnacentral:rRNA from 1 species